rnacentral:rRNA from 1 species
GCCCCUACGGGAGGCAGCAGUGAGGAAUAUUGGUCAAUGGGCGGAAGCCUGAACCAGCCAAGUCGCGUGAGGGAAUAAGGCCCUACGGGUCGUAAACCUCUUUUGCCGGGGAGCAAGGGCGGGGACGUGUCCCGGCCCGGAGAGUACCCGGAGAAAAAGCAUCGGCUAACUCCGUGCCAGCAGCCGCGGUAAUACGGAGGAUGCGAGCGUUAUCCGGAUUUAUUGGGUUUAAAGGGUGCGUAGGCGGGAUGGCAAGUCAGAUGUGAAAUCCGGGGGCUCAACCCCUGAACUGCAUUUGAAACUGU